GUCGUAAUGUCUGAUAGCAAAUUUAGCGAUAGUGACGGGUCCCUGUCACUAAGCGGUGAAGAUGAGCUCAUCGGCGCCGAUCGAUUGAAGAACCGGGGACGUCGACGAACCUUUAGCUACUGACCCUUUGCCACAACAACGUGGUUAGCCAGUGAAAGUAGUGGAUGAUCCGGAAUCGAUUGACGGGUGUGUGUGUAGCCACUGCUCGCCAAUACCAGCAUGUGUUGUGCGCACAAUCCGGAACCUGUUUCGAUCCGUCACGUACACAUGGUGUUGUAUUCUCCUGAAAGGUGUUGUAAGAUUUGGGCAUUUCGUCAUAUGUAUCAGAACUUGGAUAGACUGCUGAAGAAAGCUGCUCUCUCUAUCCAUUCCCGCAAGCGGCAGGAGGUUGUCAACGUGAUAAGUGAAGGCUUUCCAUUCAUGUCAUUACACCUGGAGCAAAUGACAAAAUCAAGGAUAAGCUGAUCUAUGUCAACGUCUUCAAUUACCCCUGGCCUAUGAAAAAAAAAAGCCC